AAAUUUGGUACGAGAUUAGGUUGCGAUACAAAUUCAACCCAUACCGUGGAGGUUGAGAUGUUUUUGCUACAUGACUUCUCCCUCUUCGCUCUCGGUCGUGAUCGUCGGGAAACAAAGAAAAAGGGUGUAGUGCUUUCACUGACGGCGGAGGGAUCUGUAAAAUUCAACACUUCGUGCCCAGAAAAGUAAAAUAGCCCACAAAUGGCAACUCCACCACCACCGACGACGGCCCCGCCAGGGACCGGGAAUUUCGAGGGGGGGCCGAUGCCAGCAGCGCCUCAGCCUCCAGGCACGGACAUGACUGGAAUUUGCUUUAGAGACCAGCUUUGGCUCAAUACUUACCCUCUUGAUCGAAACUUGGUUUUCGAUUACUUCGCCUUGUCGCCUUUCUACGACUGGACUUGUAACAACGAACAACUCAGAAUGCGCUCCAUUCACCCCCUCGAUCUUUCUCAACUCUCAAAAAUGACAGGCAUAGAGUACAUGCUGAAUGAAGUUAUGGAGCCUCAUCUUUUCGUUUUCAGAAAGCAAAAGAGGGAUGGUCCUGAGAAAGUCACACCGAUGCUGACUUAUUAUAUCUUGGAUGGUUCAAUCUACCAGGCGCCUCAACUUUGCAAUGUUUUUGCUGCCCGAGUUAGUCGGGCACUGUAUUACAUAUCAAAGGCCUUCACCACGGCUUCCUCAAAGUUGGAGAAGAUAGGAUAUGUUGAUUCUGAAAAUGAGAGUGAAGAAGUAAAACCUGCAAAAGAAACCAUUAACUUUAAGGAAGUUAAGCGAGUUGAUCAUAUUCUUGCAUCUUUACAGCGCAAGCUGCCACCUGCCCCACCACCCCCACCAUUUCCUGAAGGUUAUGCUUCUGCUCCCACAGCAGAUACAGAAAAAGGCCCUGAAAAUCAGCAAGGAGAGUCACAACAGCCUUCAGCAGAUCCCAUUAUUGAUCAGGGUCCAGCUAAAAGGAUGAAAUUUUGAAGAGUUUAGGCUACUUUGCCUGUUGAGAAGCCUAUUUAAUCCUGCAAUUGAAAUUCAAUAUGGAUGACAUCCCUGCACAAAGCAUGAGACUGUUUGAAAGCAACAAGCUCCUUGUGACUUUCGAUACAUACAAGGACUUCCGAAGUUUGCAAACAUGAUGGUCAAACUGGGCUUCAAAUUCUAGUGGAGGACUCAUAUAUACUUCCUCUUCUAAAUUUCCAUUUAGGAAUGCGAUCUUAACAUCAAGUUGAUAUAGAGGUCAGUCUUUAUUCAUUGCAACAGAUAGCAAGAUUCUAAUAAUGUUUAAAUUUGCAACAGGAGAGAAAGCUUCAGAGUAGUUAACCCCAUAAGUCUGGGUGAACCCUUUUGCAACUAAUCUGGCCUUAUGUCUGUUAAGAGUACCAUCUGCUUUGUACUUGAUAGUAAACACCCAUUUGCAUCCACAAUUUUGUCUCUUAGAGAGAAUGCAGAGCUCCCAAGCCUUGUUCUUUUCUAGGGCUCUCAUUUCUUCCAUGACUGGAGUUUUUCUUGGGCAUUCAAAGGCAACAUGGAUAUUCUUGGGUAUUGUAGUAGAGUCAAGACUGGUUGUAAAGGCUCUAAAUUGAGGAGAUAGGUUCUUAUAAGAAACAUAGUUAGCAAUAGAGUGCUUUGUGCAGGACCUGGUACCCUUCCUUAGUGCAAUAGACAGAUCAAGAGUCGGGUCGUACUUAUUGAUAUUUUCUGAACGAUCCUCCCUAGUUUCAUUCUCAGUAACUUUUGCAAUGACCUCAUUCCCACCAUCACUGCCCUUUCCAUCUGAAAUGACCUUAGUAUCAACACUAUGAAUAGUUGUCUCCGACUUGUCACUUUCACUCAUUUUACUGUCAAUAUGUGAGUCAGUAAAAUUAGUCAUACCUUAGUCUCGUAAAGAUUUAGGAUCUUGGACUGAAGUCAGCUGAAUAGUAGAAGACCCAUCUUCCUUUUUAAGAUUUCUCCUACAUUAGGUUUUCUAAGGAACUUGGUUCAUAGUGAGGACCACGAGGACUUGGACUAGGUAGGAUAACUAGAGUAGGACUGGUAGACUUUAAGGAAAUCACCUAGUUAGACUCUUCACUCUCACUCUUCGCCUGAGGUAGGCAAAUGGGAAAGAAAGGACGAUCCUAAAAAAAAGUGACAUUCAUGGAGACAAAGUACUUACGAGAAGACGGAUGAAAGUAUUAAUAGCCCCGUUAGGGAUUAACUUAGUUGGGUGAGGGCCAUGGUUAUGAACAUAGGUUGUGCACCCGAAUACCCAAAGAGGAACAUCAGAAAUGGGACAGGUAGAGGGACAUGACUCUUUAAGACACUUUAAGGGGGUUUGGAGAUGUAGGGCACGAGAAGACAUUCAAUUGAUAAGAUGGACUGCAGUGAGAACAGCAUUGCCUAGAUAUAGGAAGGAAAUUUUAGAGAACAAGCUACUUCCAAAAGGUGACAAUUUUUGCGCACAACUACCCCAUUUUGUUGGGGGUGUAGGCACAGGAACUUUGAUGAACAAUCCCUUUGGAGGACAAAAACUCAUUGAGGGUGUGGUUUUGGAACUCAUAAGCGUUGUCACUCCAUAAAAUACUAAUGUGGUUUUGGAACUCAAAAACUCAUUGAGGGUACAAGCAUUUCCAGAUGAAGUAGUUAUUUUGGAUGGUCCCAAGGCAUCACUAUGACCAAGUGUGAAAGGGUGGAUUGGUUUGUAUGGUUGUGAAGGAAAAGAAACUCAAUGUUGUUUAUCUCGAAUACAUAUGUCACAAGAUAAGGUAGACAAAUCAAUUGUUCAACUCCUUAUUAUCGUUUGAAUGUUUGUCAUGUUGAAUGCUCAUCUAUGCACAUCUUUGGAUGUCUUUGCUUUGCAUCAUCGCUCACUGCACUUUGAUCCAAAUUUUAUCCUCAUGCCAUUACCUCAGUCUAUAUGAGAUAUCCUCCAAGAAUGAAAGGGUACAAGCUAUAUGAUGUUGAAAAGAAGUUUUUUUUUUUAUAUAUAUAUCUCCAAAGACAACGAGUUUCAUGAACAUGUCUUUCCUUGUCAACACAUUUCUUCUCAAGAUAGUCUUGUAGAUCCAUUUCUAGAACUUGUUACCCCCCGCCAUUUUCGAGUUUGCGGGCAUUCCUUCUAAUGAAGCUAGGACAAGUACAUUAGCCAAAGAAGUCGUUGCCACUCCAACUAACUACAAUGUUGACUAUGAACAACAUAACUGUGCUCCAGUUGAGAAUCAAGCAACAUUUGAGAGUCAAGCAUCCAAUGUGAUUCCGUACAAUGUGCCAACCACUUCUCAAAGUAUUAGAUGGUCUACUCGGCUUACCAAACCACCUUCUUAUCUUCGUGAGUAUCAUUGUAACUUGCUUCAUGAGUCUAUGAGCAACGUUUCCGCUAUGCCUACAAAGUUCCCCAUUCAGAAGUUAAUGUCUUAUAACAAGUUGUCCUCGAGUUAUAAGAAAUUCUUGCUCAAUGUUACUUCUACCUUUGAGCCACAGUUCUACCAUCAUGCUGUCCCUUUCAAAAAAUGGCAUGAUACUAUGACAGAUGAGUUAAAAGCCACGGAAACAAACGAGAUUUUGUCAGUUGUUCCUCUUCCUCUUUAUCGUUCCAAUUUUAUCAGAUGUCCUCAAAGGGACUCAAUUGUUCUCUUCCUCCUACUCAACAUUUCAUAGGAUGCAAAUGGGUGUACCAAAUCAAGCAUGGAGCCGAUAUAUUCAUUGAACGCUAUAAAGCAAGACUUGUGGAGCCAAGUGGUACUCUCAACAAGAAGGCCUUGAUUAUGACGAAACAUUUUCUUCGGUUGCCAAGCUUGUGACCGUCAAAAUUUUAUCAACUAUGGUUGUAUCAAUGAAAUGGGAACUAGUUCAACUUGAUGUUAAUAGUGUGUUUCUAAGUUGCUCUUGUCGAAGAAGUUUAUAUGGAUCUAUCAUUAGGAUACAAACAUGGUGUGGUUGUUAGAAAGGGGGAGCGUUUAGUAUUUAAACUUCGCCAAUCAAUAUAUUUGCUUAAACAAGCUUCUUACAAUGUUUUGAUAAGCUUUCUCGCAAUCAAUAUAUGCCCUUUUAUCCCUCGGA